UGGGGAAUAUUGCACAAUGGAUGGAACUCUGAUGCAGCGACGCCGCGUGAGUGAUGAAGGAAUUCGUUUCGUAAAACUCUGUUCUAUGGGAAGAAAAGGACUGUACCAUAGGAGAAAGCUCCGGCUAAAUACGUGCCAGCAGCCGCGGUAAUACGUAUGGAGCGAGCGUUGUCCGGAAUUAUUGGGCGUAAAGGGUGCGCAGGCGGCUUUACAAGUUGGAUGUGAAAUAUUGUGGCUCAACCACAAACGUGCAUCCAAAACUGCAAAGCUUGAGUUAAGGAGAGGUAAGUGGAAUUCCUGGUGUAGCGGUGGAAUGCGUAGAUAUCAGGAGGAAUACCGGUGGCGAAGGCGACUUACUGGACUUAAACUGACGCUCAGGCACGAAAGCGUGGGGAGCAAACAGG
rnacentral:rRNA from 1 species